CGCGGCCGUGGUGGCGGGCGCUGCCGCGGGGCUCUCGGCGGGCCCCGGUGCGCGGCGCAGCUUCGGGAGCCUGGCGGUCACAUCGUCCGGUUGCGG
rnacentral:tRNA from 1 species